UACGUAGGCAGCAAGCGUUGUUCGGAAUUACUGGGCGUAAAGAGUGUGUAGGCGGUGCUCUAAGUUCGGUGUGAAAUCUCCCGGCUUAACUGGGAGGGUGCGCCGGAAACUGGAGUGCUUGAGCGCGGGAGAGGAAAGCGGAAUUCCUGGUGUAGCGGUGAAAUGCGUAGAUAUCAGGAGGAACACCUGUGGUGUAGACGGCUUUCUGGACCGUAGCUGACGCUGAGACACGAAAGCGUGGGUAGCGAACAGG
rnacentral:rRNA from 1 species